UCUAACAUCACACAACAUAAACAGGCGUGAAGUUUAUCACGCCUUCAGGCCUAAGUCACACAUAGUAUGAUUUGUUGAGAUUUCUUGAGCUUCUUUCUGACUUUAAGAUUAAUUCUUUAGAGAGCUAUGUUCGUUCUAUAGCAUGAACAAUAGGUAUUUGUUUGUAAUUAUUUAACAAGUUAAAUAUGAAUAUUGUUAUUAACACCCCCA
rnacentral:lncRNA from 1 species